UCCAAAACUGAAGAGCGCGAUAGAGAGAAAAUUUACUGAGAACAGAAUAAUUUGAAAAAGGAGUAUUAAAUAUUUAAAAAUUUCGGCUGCAUUACACACACACGUAUAUUAAAUGUAUUGCUUAUAUUUUUACACAAAACAAUUGCUUAAGCAUGUUAAGCAUAACAAAAAAAAAACAAAAGAAAAUAUAUGUUCUUUUUGUUUUUGGGGAAAAAGAAAACCUUCAGACACCCAACCGCCCGGGUAGUGUUAGAUAGCUUCGAUUCCCUCCGAAGAGGACCCACCCAACUUAAACCUCCGCAGAUCGUUAUAAGAUCAUUUAUUUCAGUCUUUUUCGGCCGAUGAAAUGAGAUUAACAUAAUGCAAAAUAAUAGUUAUCAUUUGUAAACGUAAUCAGUCUAUUGCAAUCAACAGAUUUCAAAUUCCGAACCAAACCAAUAAAUAAGUGUGCAGUUAAGAUCCUGUCGCAUUGAUUAAUUAAGCACCAGGCUACCGGGUGGAUGAGGUACCGGAAAACCGGGGAAGAAUUGCACCUGUAAUGCGCAGAAUUUUGAUUUAAAAUCAGUGCACAAUAAUGCUACGCUCGCAAUCUAUUCACAUUUGUUGUCUGCAUACUGGUUAAUUUCGCCGUCCGCGGCUUUUUAGUGAAAUAUUGUUUACUAUUUAAUUAAUAUCGUGUUAAGAAUUCGUGUUUAAUCCCUGAAGGUCUCUACUUUAGCCUAACAGUAAGAGAUUUACGCGCUAGCCCGCCAACUAUGUUGUCAAAACCCAGAAUUGGUUUUACUUAUUAUACAUAUAAGAAAAUAAAAAGGGUAGGCAGACGGGAACCAAGGUUACAAUUAGAUGAUGUAUUAACAUUGUAUUGUAAUAUAAGACUCGAACAAAGUCCAACCUUUAUAGGGGACGCUGUUGAAACAUCGUAUUUCAAAUUACGCACAGAAACUUAUAUUUUCUAUUAUCCUGAAACAGGCCCCCCCCCAUCAUGUACGAAAAUGUAUUAAAAAAGGAACCGUAAACAGGAACCAUGCCUAUUAUCUAUGGAACAUGCAUACCAUGUGCAUACUAUUAUAGGAUAUAAAUAUCCUCUAGUAACAAGGAACUGAACAGGUUACGCUCGCUGCUUAUGAAGGUGUAGUAAAGUAUUUGAAAAUAUACCAUAACUGCGUUACGAAGGAGAUGAUUGGCAACUGUUAGCAACAUUGUUGCAAACAUGAUGGUUGGCAACAGAGCUUUCUACCUAUCUGCUAUGACUACCUGAUUGGCACGCGCGACUCCCACUAUUACCAUCACACUAAACUAAUAAUGUGGUAAUAAUUAUUAGCAACAAUAAUUAGGGGCUAGACCUAUCGGCUAUGGCUAGUAAUUAAUAAUAACAACGCUUUCCUGUGGUUUGCGUUAAGUUCCAAACGUUCCAAAAUUCCAAACAAAGUUGAAAGACAAAGAUCGUCCGGAUGCUCUCCCUGUUCUCCGCUCUUAUUUUUGACAUCAGGACACAGGAUUUGUGUUUUAUUAAUUUAUAACUAUUUCGCAUUGUAAUUUUUAUAAAUUUAAACAGUGGAAUUAAUGAUUUUUCCAUAUAUUGAAUUUUAAGGUUAUUACGUCCAAAAUGCAUGGUAAAAUAGCCAUUCUCUAGAAUCAGUGAAUACAGGUAAUUACAUGGUAUUAUGACUUUAUAUUGUUGGAUACAUUGGUUUUGGAUAACAUUUACAUUAUGUAUAAGAUGGUUUUUAUUUCUCUGUGCAUAUUUUUCUUUGCAUCUAAAAAGUACAACAGCAACUCAUUUAAACAUGAAGCUGGACCAAAAUUACAGCGAACUUUUGGCUUCAGUUAAUAAUCUUCCUGAUGUCAACACCAAUCUGCCUUCAUCAAAUUUCCUUAGUAAUCAAACAGAUA